UUGAAAGGGAAACGAUUGAAGUCAGUCGUACCUGCGGGAUAAUCAGCCUUUCGAGUAUGAUUCUGUGGAGUGUAAGGAGUUUAACCGUCUUCAUACCUGCAUAUUCGUGCGCUUUGGGUGUACUUGUCCGUAUGGUAGGUUAACAUCAAUUUUGGUCGUUAUAAAAUGACUAGGGGAAUGUAGCUUUGAUCCCGUAUUGAAGUGUUAUAGCCUCUGGUAAAUGCAGUGACUAGGAUUGAGGAUUGCAACGGAUACCUUUCGGGGCUACUCGUCUGAUCUCUGGAAGUUACUUUGGUGCUAAAAGCUUGCUUAUGGUUAUCGAAGUUGACGGUCAAUAGGUUAGAACGAGUUAAAUUCGUUAAGGAUGUUGACGUA
rnacentral:rRNA from 1 species